rnacentral:rRNA from 1 species
AUACGUAGGGGGCGAGCGUUGUCCGGAAUGAUUGGGCGUAAAGGGCGCGUAGGCGGCCCGGUAAGUCUGGAGUGAAAGUCCUGUUUUUAAGAUGGGAAUUGCUUUGGAUACUGUCGGGCUUGAGUGCAGGAGAGGUAAGUGGAAUUCCCAGUGUAGCGGUGAAAUGCGUAGAGAUUGGGAGGAACACCAGUGGCGAAGGCGACUUACUGGACUGUAACUGACGCUGAGGCGCGAAAGUGUGGGGAGCAAACAGGAUUAGAUACCCUGGUAGUCCACGCCGUAAACGAUGAAUGCUAGGUGUAGGGGGUAUCGACCCCUUCUGUGCCGCAGUCAACACAAUAAGCAUUCCGCCUGGGGAGUACGGCCGCAAGGUUGAAACUCAAAUGAAUUGACGGGG